UUCGAGGUGGCCAGUGGUUAAAGGCGAUGGACUGCUAAUCCAUUGUGCUCUGCACGCGUGGGUUCGAAUCCCAUCCUGGGUU
rnacentral:tRNA from 1 species